CCUACGGGGGGCAGCAGUGAGGAAUAUUGGUCAAUGGGCGAGAGCCUGAACCAGCCAAGUCGCGUGAGGGAAGACGGUCCUAUGGAUUGUAAACCUCUUUUGCCGGGGAGCAAAAAGCGGUACGUGUACCGCACCGAGAGUACCCGGAGAAAAAGCAUCGGCUAACUCCGUGCCAGCAGCCGCGGUAAUACGGAGGAUGCGAGCGUUAUCCGGAUUUAUUGGGUUUAAAGGGUGCGCAGGCGGCGAGUUAAGUCAGCGGUAAAAUUUCGGGGCUCAACCCCGACAAGCCGUUGAAACUGGCUUGCUUGAGUGGGCGAGAGGUAUGCGGAAUGCGUGGUGUAGCGGUGAAAUGCAUAGAUAUCACGCAGAACUCCGAUUGCGAAGGCAGCAUACCGGCGCCCAACUGACGCUCAGGCACGAAAGCGUGGGUAUCGAACAGGAUUAGAUACCCGUGUAGUC
rnacentral:rRNA from 1 species